CAAGAAUGCCAAUUAUGUGCUUCCAGUUUAGUUUUUUGGUUGUCGAUUAACUGAUUUAUUGGUGGAGACCGCGACAGAGCAGGAUGGCUCAGUCAGUAAUAUCACCGUGCAGCCCACAGUUUUUCAGGCAUUGACACUAGCAGUACGUAAAGCGAGUCAAUCUAUAUGCAGUUAAGAAGAAAACGAUAAUAGAAGAUCCUUGCUUUUCCCCCCAGAAGCAUGGCAAUACAGUCGAAGAAAAAUUAUAAUCAUCACAAUGUAUGUGAUGUAACACGUUUUCUAAUUUAUUUAUCAUUGAU